CCCAACAUUGAAGGUGAUUACGACAACCCGCACAAGUUUGCUCCGCCCUCCCACCCAUUGGUGGUAAGCCAUUGGUUCUCUGUCAGCUCCACCCCCCCCCCCUCUAGGUGGACAUCAUUGAAUUUAUAUUGAAGUUUUCCUAUGUCAGCCCAUAAAGAAUCUAGCUUUUGGUUUUCCGAGACAUGGGGAUCACUACAUGUUCCUAUAUGAAUGUUUAAGCAACAAAAGUGCUUGUUGUCUUAAGUGUCAACUUAGCUAUCUGUGUUUCAAACCACCUCCUGCCCAAUUCAUGGGUUGAGCAUAGUCAUAUGCCAUCUAAAGGAUGAACUGAAUGUGGUUUAUCCAUUAUCCUACUUGCAGUACUUUAAAGUCAUGCAAGUGAAGAUAGACAUGAUAGACUUCCGUGCUGCAAAGCUAUUCACCUUUGUUUAUAUAAAUGACCAUUCAUACCUAUUCCCCUCCAUCAUGCUUCUAAACUGGAUAGUAAUAAACAAUUUUGGUUGGCAGGAUGCAACUGUGUCACCACAGGCUUUAUCCCGUCUCCCUUUAGUCUGGGUAUAUUUUAGGUAUGGGUGUUUAAUUCGGUGUCGUUUUGGUUGGAACCGCAGGAUCUGUUUGCCCGUGAUUCUUGCCCCAAAAGUGGACUUGGACAAACUACAAGUUCGACGAUGUAAGAUAAUACUCAAUUUGUUUGGUCAUGUUACUGUUUGCCCAAAGUUGACUCUUUCUUCAUUUGUGUUUUCGUCUUGCAGAGGUGUUCACAUAGGUGAUCGUUGCUGUGAUGAACUGGUCAUGUUCAUGUUGCUGGGAUGAGGCCUCCCGUGCGGCUUCCCCUGCACUUCCGGGGCUGUUUCUUCUCCGUCUCCAGUGCAGGUAAGCCACUCACUUCCUCUUUUGUGCUUUCUCCUCUGUUGUGUGUGUCCAUGUCCAUCCCGCCGUGGUAAGUCCUACGCUGGAGAUGUGCCAUGAGUGAGCAUUGCUGAUUGAUAGAUAGCUCCGAGAAAACGUGAUUAUCGUACAUUGUUCAUCUUGGUAUUUAUGCUUGUCCUUUUGGAUCUGUGAAGAUUAAUGUAACUGGUUCUCCUCAUGCAUGAUAGCUAGCUAGUGUCACCGGUUUGUUUAGCUCUUAACUUAUCUACUAGUGAUGUUAUGGUUGUUUGAUUCCUAGGGUUCUUGUACCUCUCAAAUCAAUCAUGCCAUGCUUCUUUGCUGCAUUUCCUAUAUGAUUGUUAUUAAGUGGCCAACGUGCUCAUGUGGUUGCUUUUUCUUGGUUGAUUUGCAGUUAAUGCCGUUUUUUUGUGAUAUAUCAUUCAAAGGACAAUUAUUGAUUUGCAUCCCUUGUUGCUUCUAUACUUCCACAUACAGACAUACAUGAUGAUCUCUUUACGCCGUGUGACUAGAGUAAAAAAACCAUGUUUUCUUGUACACGUAUACAAAAUUAAAUCAGGCCAUCCACCAUGGGUCUCUUCUGUUUCUUCCAAGCAGCUUCUCCAUGUCUGCCACAUGUAGAUGUAUCAUGCUCUUCUUUUAUUCAGUAGGAAUUGAAGUCAAUGAAGACUAAGCUGUUGUGUUUUUCUAGAGAUGCAUGAUAAUUAUGGCAGGUUUUUGCUUGUGUUUGGAUGAAUCGUGGAAUGUUUUCUGUCCUGUAGCAUGAGAAUGAAAAUAACCACCAUUUUUUAGGAUGAAACUGCAAAUUUUGAGAAGGAAGGAGCGAGCUCCCAGGCCGGACGAGUCUGGAUGCGUGUUCGCAGUCUAGUCGCCGUCCUCUGUACGCACGGUGGUGAGGGGCGCAGCCAUCGUCUGCGCGCACGAGGCCGUAC
rnacentral:lncRNA from 1 species